rnacentral:tRNA from 1 species
GGGUAAUUAACUCAGUUGUAAGAAAAGAGAGCAUCGCCUCCCUUUACAAAUAAUGGCGAGGGUCACUGGUUCAAGUCCAGUAUCACCCACCA